rnacentral:tRNA from 1 species
GCCCGGGUGGCUCAGUGGUUGAGCAUCUGGCUUUGGCUCAGGUCAUGAUCCCGGGGUCCUGGGAUCGAGUCCCACAUCGGGCU